rnacentral:rRNA from 1 species
AGGACGAACGCUGGCGGCGUGCUUAACACAUGCAAGUCGAGCGAGGCCUUCCCUUCGGGGGAGUGCCCUAGCGGCGAACGGGUGAGUAACACGUGGGCAACCUGCCCCUAGCACUGGGAUAACUCCGGGAAACCGGGGCUAAUACCGGAUAUGACCUUUGAGGGCAUCCUCUUUGGUGUAAAGGAUUCUGGCUAGGGAUGGGCCCGCGGCCUAUCAGCUUGUUGGUGGGGUAAUGGCCUACCAAGGCGUCGACGGGUAGCUGGUCUGAGAGGACGAUCAGCCACACUGGGACUGAGACACGGCCCAAACUCCUACGGGAGGCAGCAGUGGGGAAUAUUGGACAAUGGGCGCAAGCCUGAUCCAGCAAUGCCGCGUGUGUGAAGAAGGUCUUCGGAUUGUAAAGCACUUUCGACGGGGACGAUGAUGACGGUACCCGUAGAAGAAGCCCGGCUAACUUCGUGCCAGCAGCCGC